rnacentral:lncRNA from 1 species
UACUAACGUUAGGUCUGUCUGUUCUUCUCUCUCAAGCUGCUUUAGAUGUAAAGUUAGCUUGUUUAUUUGAGCUUUUUCUUGUUUCCUGAGUUGGGCUUGUAUUGCUAUAAACUUUCCUCUUAGAACAGCUUUUGCUGGAUCCCAUAGGUUUUGGAGUGUCAUAUCUUUGUUGUCAUUUGCUCCUAGGUAUUUUUAAAUUUCCUCUUUGAUUUCUUCAGUGAUCCAUUGGUUGCUAGUUGCAUGUUGUUUUGUCUCCACGUGUUUGUGUUUUUUUUUUUGCAGUGUUUUUCUUGUUGUUGAUUUCCAUUCGUAUACUGUUGUGGUCAGAAAAGAUGCUUGAUACGAUUUCAAUAUUCUUAAAGUUACUGAGGUUUGAUUUGUAGCCCAGGAUGUGAUGAAUCUUAGAGAAUGUUCCAUGUGCACUUGAGAAGAAUGUGUAUUCUGUUGCUUUUGGAUGGAAUGUUCUCUAAAUAUCUAUUAAGUCCAUCUGGUCUAAUGCUUCAUUCAGGGCCUGUGUUUCCUUAUUUAUUUUCUGUCUGGAUGAUCUGUCCAUUGCUGUAAGUGGGGUGUUAAAGUCCCCUGCUGUUAUUGUGUAAUUGUUAUUUUCUCCUUUUAAGGUCGUUAGCAGUUGCCUUAUAUAUUGAGGUGAUUCUAUGUUGGGUGCAUCUAUAUUUAUAAUUUUUAUAUCUUCUUCUUGGAUUGAUCCUUUGAUCAUUAUGUAAUGUUCUUUUUGUCUCUUAUAAUAUUCUUUAUUUUAAGAUCUAUUUUGUCAGAUAGAAGUAUUGCCACUCCAGGUUUCUUUUGAUUCUCGUUUGCAUGGAAUAUUUUCUUCCGUCCUCUCACUUUCAGUUUGCAUGUGUCCAUAGAACUGAAGUGGGUCUCUUGAAGACAGCACAUAUAUAUGGGCCUUGUUUUUUGUAUCCAUUCAGCCAGUCUAUGUCUUUUGGUUGGGGCGUUUAGUCCAUUAACAUUUAAGGUAAUUAUUGAUGUGUAUGUUCUUACUGCCAUUUUAUUAACUGUUUUGAUUUGUUUUUGUUGGUCUUUUUUCUUCCAUUCUUCUAUUGUCUCUUCUCUUGUGGUUUGAUGGCUAUAUUUAGUGUUGUAUUUGGAUUGCUUUUUCUUAUUUGUGUGUGGAUUUUUGGUUUGCAGUUGCCCUGAAGUUUUGAUAUAGGAGUCUAGAUCGAUACAUAGAUAGAUAGAUAGAUAGAUAUACAAGAUCGUUUUAAGUUUUUGGUCUCUUAAUUGAAAGUCCAUCUCUAGUGUCCUGCAUUUAUUUGUACCCUCCUCUUCUCAUGAUUUCUUAUUUUGGUAGCAUAUUUGUGUGUGGAUGAUUUCCUACCUUUACUGUAUGUAUGUCUUUACUGGUGAGUCUUGUCAUUUGUAAUAUUUUUGUUUCUACUUGUGGCCUUUUCUUUUUCACCUAGAGAAGUUCCUUUAGUCUUUGUUGUAAAGAUGGUUUAGUGGUGCUGAAAUAUUUUAGCUUUUGCUUGUCUGCAAAGCUUUUGCUUUCUCCUUCAAAUCUAAAUGAGAGCCUUGCUGGGUAGAGUAAUCUUGGUAGGUUUUUUCUUUUCAUCACUUUAAGUGUAUCAUGCCACUCCCUUUUGGCCUGUGAAGUUUCUGCUGAAAAAUCCACCAGUAACCUUAUUGGGGUUCCCUUGUAUGUUAUUUCUUUCUUUUCCCUAGCUGCUUUCAGUAUUUUCUCUUUGUCUUUAAUUUUGGUCCAUUAGAUUAAUGUUGUCUUGGUGUGUUCCUCCUUGGGUUUAUUUUAUAUGGUACUCAUUGCACUUCUUGGAUUUGAGUGAGUGGUUCCUUUCCCACGUUAGGGUAGUUUUUGGCUAUUAUCUCUUCAAAUAUUUUUUCAGGCCCUUUAUCUCUCUCUUUUCCUUCUGGCACCCCUAUAAUAUGGAUGUUGGUGUGUUUAAUGUUGUCCCAGAGUUCUCUUAGACUGUCUUCAUUUCUUUUCAAUCUUUUUUCUAUUUUCUGUUCUACAUUAAGGGAUUUCCAGUAGUCUGUCCUCCACCUCACUUAUUUGUUCUUCUACCUCCUGUAUUCUGCUGUUGGUUGCUUCUAAUGAAUUUUUUAUUUCAGUUAUUGUAUUUUGCAUCUCUUCUUACUUAAUCCUUAAAUCUUGUAUUUCUUUGCCCAGUGUUUCUUAUAAUUUAUCAGUCUUUGCCUGCAGUUUAUUUCCAAGAUCUUGAAUCAUCUUCACUAUUACAAGUCUAAAGUCUUUUUCAUGAAGGUUGAUCGUCUCCGGAUCACUUAGCUGCUUUUCUGGGUUUUUUUCUUGCUCCCUUAUCUGGGUUAUAAUUCUCUGCCGUUUCAUUUUGUAUAGAUUUUUGGUGUGUCUCCUUUUUGCAGACAAUAGAGUUGUAGACUCUCUUACUUCUGAUGUCUGCCUUCCUUUGGUAAAGGGCUUGCUGUAGGCUUCCUGAUGGGAGGGACUGGUCCUGCCCACUGGCAGGUGGAGUGAUUCUUAUCCCUCUGGUGGGUGGGGCUUUGUCUUUGGGUGAGAUUUAGAGUUGUGUGCCUGGGGGUCUUUAGGCAGUCUGUUUGCUGGUGGGUGGGGCUGUGAUUCCACCUGGAUUAUUGUUUGGCCUGGGGCUUCUCAGCCCUGGUGGGUGGGGCCAGAUUUUUCUAAAAUGGCCCCCUCUAGGGAAGCACAUGCUGAUGAUUAUUUCUGAGACCUUUCCUUCCAAUGUCCUCCACCCAUAAGGAGUAAUAGUCACUCCCUGUUUUCCCAGGAGAUGCUCCAAGAACUACAGUCAGGUCUGACCCAGAUUCCUAUGGAGCCUCUGCUUUGCCCUUGGACCCAGUGCACCUGAAAGCCUGUGUGCACCUUUCAAGAAUGAGGUCUCCAUUUCCCCUAGUCUUGUGGAGCUCCUGCACACAAGCCCCAAUGGCCUUCAAUGCCAAAUACUCCAGGGGCUCCUUCUCCCAAUGCCCAGUUCUGACUUGGGGCUCAGAACUCUCACUUCCAUAGGUGAGUCUCUGUGAUAUGUUGCUUUCCAGUCUGUGGGCUGCCCACUCAGCAGGUAUGGAGUUGCUUAUAUCAUGUAAUCCCCUCUCCUACCAUCUUGAUGUAGCCGCCUCUUUGUCUUCUGUAGUAGGAUAUCUUAGUUUGCAGAGUAUUUGGUUGAAAGUUGUUCAGCAGUUGAUUGUAAUUUUGUUGUUUUUAUGAGAGAAGGUGAGCUCCAGUCCUUCUGCUUUGCCAUCCCAAUCCCCUUAACUCCCAUCUUAAGAAUAGCAAAGGGAGAGCAAAUAAACUCAUACCCAAAUAAACUGAAGAAAGGACAUAAUAAAGGUUAAAGUGAAAAUAAAUGAGACAGAAUAUAGAAGAACAGUAGAGAGAAUCAAUGAAACCAAAAGGUAUUUCUUUGAGAAUAUCACUAAGAAUGAUAAACCUCUAGUUAGACUGACCAGAGAAAAUAGAGCAAUGAUGUGUAUUUCUUUUUUUUUUACUUUUAUUAGAGUGUAGAUGAUUUUCAGUGUUGUGUCAACUUCUGCUGUACAGCAUAGUGACACAGUCAUACAUACAUAUACAUUCUUUUUCUCAUAUUAUCUUCCAUUAUGGUCUAUCCCAAGAGACUGGAUAGAGUUCCCUGUGCUAUAGCAUAGGACCUCAUUGUUUAUCCAUUCCAAAUGUAAUAGUUUUUGCAUCUACCAACCUCAAAGUCCCAGUCAUCCCACUCCCUCCCUGCUCUCUUUUGGCAAUCACAGAUCAGUUCUCUAUGUCUGUGAGUCUGUUUCUGUUUUGUAUAUAGGUUCAUUUGUGCCAUAUUUUCACUCCCACAUGUAAGUAAUAUCAUAUGCUACUUUUUCUUUCUGGCUUAACUUCACUUAGUAUGAGAGUCUCUAGUUGCAUUUAUAUUUCUACAAAUGGCAGUAUUUUGUUCUUUUUUUUAUAGCUGAGUAGUAUUCCAUUGUAUAUCUGUACCAUAUCUUCUUAACCCAUUCAUCUGUCAGUGGACAUUUAGGUUGUUUCCAUGUUUUGGCUAUUGUGAAUAACGAGUGCUCCAAAUACAUAGGAGUUCAUGUAUUUUUCUGAAUGAAAGUUUUGUCCAUAUAUAUGCCCAGGAGUGGGAUUGCUAGAUCGUAAGGUAGUUCUAUAUUUAGUUUUUGAUACGUAUUUUUAACAUCAGGAAUAAUAGGUAGUAUCACUAUAGAUUCUCCAGAAAAUAAAAGGACAAUAAGGGAAUAUUACAAACAACUUUAUUCCAAUACAUUCAACAACUUAGAUAAACUGGGCAAAUUCCUUGUAGG